GCCAGGUGUGGUGGCACAUGCCUGUAUUCCCAGCUACUCAGGAGGCUAAGGGAGGAAGGUUGGCUUGAGCCCAAGAGUUCUGGGCUGUAGUGUGCUAUGCCCACUGGGUGUCUGCACUAAGUUCAGCAUCAAUAUGGUGACCUUCUGGGAGUGGGGAACCACCAGGUAGCCUAAGGAGGGUUGAACCUGCCCAGGUUAAAAUAGAACAGAUAAGAAUUCUGUGCUGAUAAGUAGUGAGAUCCAACCUGUAAAUAGCCACCACACUCCAGCCUGGGCAACAUAGUAAGAGACCUUGUCUCU
ensembl:misc_RNA Metazoa_SRP Metazoan signal recognition particle RNA